GGAUGUGAGGGUAAUAUGGCUGUGAUGUCUGCCACCCUGUUGACAGGGUUGAUUCAACUGAUCUAGCUAAGUAGGGAAGUGUCUCCUUGUUCCUUCAGUAUGGCAUAUGCACCCUUCAGAAGCUUCAGCCUAUAUCAUAGAGAGUGACAUUUGCCAAUGAGUACCUUUGUUCCUGUUGGAACUUCCAAAUAAGCACCAAAGGAAGUAGAGCCCCAUAGAGGUUCAUGGUGUAUGACUCAUUGGCUGGAGGGUGAAAAGCUGAUCUGCUUGAAAGC
rnacentral:snRNA from 1 species